rnacentral:misc_RNA from 1 species
GAUGAAGAACGCAGCGAAAUGCGAUACGUAAUGUGAAUUGCAAAUUCAGUGAAUCAUCGAGUCCUUGAACGCACAUUGCGCCCCCUGGUAUUCCGGGGGGCAUGCCUGUCCGAGCGUCAUUGCUGCCCUCAAGCACGGCUUGUGUGUUGGGCCCCGUCCUCCGAUCCCGGGGGACGGGCCCGAAAGGCAGCGGCGGCACCGCGUCCGGUCCUCGAGCGUAUGGGGCUUUGUCACCCGCUCUGUAGGCCCGGCCGGCGCUUGCCGAUCAACCCAAAUUUUUAUCCAGGUUGACCUCGGAUCAGGUAGGGAUACCCGCUGAACUUAAGCAUAUCAAUAAGCGGAGGA